ensembl:lncRNA
CUCGAAAAUACUUUAUGUCCUUUAUAACAAACAUUUAUGGUGUUCAGUAUUUUACAAGAUAGAGCCCCAUUAGCACAGUACAGAGAACAGGAUAGUUCUCUACAGUUCAUUACUGAUAGUGCAAUGAAGUGCUCUGUUUAUUUUAGACCUCACAUCACACUUGUCCCCAAAGUAUCUUAGCAGCUCAGUUCUUGAACUUAUCUUCCUGUGAAAAGCAAGAUUGCUUCUUCUUAUGCAUGUGCUAGUGCCUUAUCCAGUGUAGCUUGUGAUGUGUCAAGAUAUGAAAUUUCCGCUGCUUCCCUUAUGAGGCUGUUUUACCUUAGUAGAUCUCCCUGGCAAGUAGCUUUAGCCAGAGAUGCGAGUUAAUUUCGAGCUGAUAGUCUGAAUUUUUCCUUCGCUAUUAGAAAGCUUUCUGGAAACCUCCAGUAUGCACCAAGAAUGCAAACAUUCAUUUAUUGGGAUGAGAAAAAAUCUUGAAAGCAUCUUCUGCUGAAUGCUGAUGCUGCCCCAUCAACACCACUAGGUCACGAGAGUAUGGAAAUUCAAUGAGUGGUGACUCAUGUGCCUCUGAGCUCCCAUUCUGUCAGCAGUUUCCAUUCUUCUGCUUCACUGGUGUAAACAACAAUGAAUCUGUGCUGAUUUACCAAAGGAGAACUAAGCAGUGCAGUGUCCUUGUUUUGCUAAAUUUAAUAUUAAUUUUUGUUUGUUUUCUUCCCUUUGUGCAUCUUUUCUUUGUUGUGGCUAAGAUAAGAUCCAGGAUACAGCUACCUAACAGUAACUUCCAGGCAGGACAGCUGCUGAUUUACUUAUUGUGAGACACAGAAACACAAGCAAUAUUGGAAAGACUGGCAAGGCAUCACCGAGUAGCAUUUCCCACACAUUGUUAACCAAGAAAAGGAAACAAAGGGAUGUGGGUCACAUUGGUAGCUGAGGACCUGAGUCUCCAUGAGCUCUGGGUUCCCUCUCCCCCUGUCCCAGGUAGCUCUGAAGCAGCCACCCAGUUUGUCCCAUGCCUGUGGAAAGUCGAAAGUAGAAAAUGCUAUUUUCUGAACUGGCCUGUGACUCUGGUCAUAAGGAAAUCAGAGCUGAAAAGUGGGAAUGAAAUCUCUUUAAUGGUGCACUGCAUGAAAUAUUACCUUUGUGAUCUGAAUGCACUGCAGCCUCUUAGAAAUACGUUCCUGCCUCCUUGUACAAGCAACACCGUGCUGAUGCUUUUCAUGACAGUACCAAGAAGCCCUAAGCUGACAGUAUUUCUGUUCUCAAUUACUUUUACAAGGCCUGAUGUGUCUAUUGUCAAAAUGGAAAAAAGUAUCUUUUUUUUUUUUUUGAUACCUCUAUUGCUAUUGCAUUUGAGGACCUUAUAAUCUGCAUUACCUGGAGGUUCAAAAUGCUUCAGUGAAGUACCGUGAUCCCUCACAGGGACCUCCCUGUGUCUUUAUGAGUAGUCUGGAGCUUGCUUGUCCUGGUGAAUUGCUAGGGUGAUUCCUGCUCCGGUUCUGACCUAAAUCAACUACUACUCUCCUGCUCCCUGGGAAGUACUUGGGAGCUUUAUGGGGAUGGGAUCAUUUCCCACAGGCGGGCUGGAAUGUGGGCAAACUCUUCUAGAGGCAGAGAGCAUUGAGAACACGAUCAGUGGUAAGCCAAUUGGAUUCAGUGCCAGAGUACAGCUCAUGGCAUGUUUAAUUCUCUAGUAAAGGAAUUAAAUAGUGCCCUGUUUAAUUUAUUGGACACCCCC